rnacentral:rRNA from 1 species
AGCGAACGCUGGCGGCAGGCCUAACACAUGCAAGUCGAACGAACUCUUCGGAGUUAGUGGCGGACGGGUGAGUAACACGUGGGAACGUGCCUUUUGGUUCGGAAUAACUCAGGGGAACUUGUGCUAAUACCGAAUGUGCCCUUCGGGGGAAAGAUUUAUCGCCAUUAGAGCGGCCCGCGUCUGAUUAGCUAGUUGGUGAGGUAACGGCUCACCAAGGCGACGAUCAGUAGCUGGUCUGAGAGGAUGACCAGCCACACUGGGACUGAGACACGGCCCAGACUCCUACGGGAAGCAGCAGUGGGGAAUCUUGCGCAAUGGGCGAAAGCCUGACGCAGCCAUGCCGCGUGAAUGAUGAAGGUCUUAGGAUUGUAAAAUUCUUUCACCGGGGACGAUAAUGACGGUACCCGGAGAAGAAGCCCCGGCUAACUUCGUG